rnacentral:tRNA from 1 species
GCGGACGUGGCGAAACUGGUAGACGCACGAGACUUAAAAUCUUGCGCCGUUAAAGGCUUGCGGGUUCGAGCCCCGCCGUCCGCACCA